GACGAACGCUGGCGGCGUGCUUAACACAUGCAAGUCGAACGAAAAUACCAAGCUUGCUUGGUUGAUUAGUGGCGAACGGGUGAGUAACACGUGAGUAACCUGCCCCUUACUUUCCUGGAUAACUGCUCGAAAGGGUAGCUAAUACGGGAUAUUCUGACCAGCCUGCAUGGGUUGGUUUGGAAAGGUUGUUUUUCUGGUAAGGGAUGGGCUCGCGGCCUAUCAGCUUGUUGGUGGGGUGAUGGCCUACCAAGGCUUUGACGGGUAGCCGGCCUGAGAGGGUGGACGGUCACACUGGGACUGAGAUACGGACCAGACUCCUACGGGAGGCAGCAGUGGGGAAUAUUGCACAAUGGGCGCAAGCCUGAUGCAGCGACGCCGCGUGAGGGAUGAAGGCCUUCGGGUUGUAAACCUCUUUCGUCAGGGAACAAGGCACUGCUUUUUUGGUGGUGUUGAGGGUACCUGGAUAAGAAGCGCCGGCUAACUACGUG
rnacentral:rRNA from 1 species